GACGAACGCUGGCGGCGUGCUUAACACAUGCAAGUCGAACGGAAAGGCCCUGCUUUUGUGGGGCGCUCGAGUGGCGAAAGGGUGAGUAACACGUGAGUAACCUGCCCUUGACUUUGGGAUAACUACAGGAAACUGGGGCUAAUAUCGGAUAGGAGCUCCUGCUGCAUGGUGGGGGUUGGAAAGUUUCGGCGGUUGGGGAUGGACUCGCGGCUUAUCAGCUUGCUGGUGGGGUAGUGGCUUACCAAGGCUUUGACGGGUAGCCGGCCUGAGAGGGUGACCGGCCACAAUGGGACUACGAUACGGCCCAGACUCGUACGGGAGGCAGCGGUGGAGAGUAUUACACAGUAGGCGGGAGCCUGAUGCAACGACGCCGCGUGCGGGAUGCCGGCCUUCGAGUUGUGAACCGCUUUCGCCUGUGACGAGGCGUGAGUGACGGUAAUGGGUAAAGAAGCACCGGCUAACUACGUG
rnacentral:rRNA from 1 species